rnacentral:rRNA from 1 species
UUGGUUAAGUUAGAAAGGGCGCACGGUGGAUGCCUUGGCACUAGGAGCCGAAGAAGGACGGGACUAACACCGAUAUGCUUUGGGGAGCUGUACGUAAGCGUUGAUCCAGAGAUUUCCGAAUGGGGGAACCCACUAUCUUUAGUCGGAUAGUAUCCUUACGUGAAUACAUAGCGUAAGGAAGGCAGACCCAGGGAACUGAAACAUCUAAGUACCUGGAGGAAGAGAAAGAAAAAUCGAUUUCCUGAGUAGCGGCGAGCGAAACGGAAAGAGCCCAAACCAAGAAGCUUGCUUCUUGGGGUUGUAGGACACUCUAUACGGAGUUACAAAAGAAAGUUAUAAAUGAAGCGGUCUGGAAAGGCCCGCCAAAGACGGUAACAGCCCGGUAGUUGAAAUGGCUUUCCCUCCAGAGUGGAUCCUGAGUACGGCGGAACACGUGAAAUUCCGUCGGAAUCCGGGAGGACCAUCUCCCAAGGCUAAAUACUCCCUAGUGACCGAUAGUGAACCAGUACCGUGAGGGAAAGGUGAAAAGCACCCCGGAAGGGGAGUGAAACAGUUCCUGAAACCGUGUGCCUACAAGUAGUUAGAGCCCGUUAAUGGGUGAUAGCGUGCCUUUUGUAGAAUGAACCGGCGAGUUACGAUUUGUUGCAAGGUUAAGCGGAAAAAGCGGAGCCGUAGCGAAAGCGAGUCUGAAUAGGGCGCAUAAGUAACAGGUCGUAGACCCGAAACCAGGUGAUCUACCCAUGUCCAGGAUGAAGGUAAGGUAAUACUUACUGGAGGUCCGAACCCACGCACGUUGAAAAGUGCGGGGAUGAGGUGUGGGUAGCGGAGAAAUUCCAAUCGAACUUGGAGAUAGCUGGUUCUCUCCGAAAUAGCUUUAGGGCUAGCCUCGAGGUAAAGAGUCAUGGAGGUAGAGCACUGUUUGGACUAGGGGCCCUUCUCGGGUUACCGAAUUCAGAUAAACUCCGAAUGCCAUGUACUUAUACUCGGGAGUCAGACUGCGAGUGAUAAGAUCCGUAGUCGAAAGGGAAACAGCCCAGACCACCAGUUAAGGUCCCCAAAUAUAUGUUAAGUGGAAAAGGAUGUGGGGUUGCUUAGACAACCAGGAUGUUGGCUUAGAAGCAGCCACCAUUGAAAGAGUGCGUAAUAGCUCACUGGUCGAGUGACCCCGCGCCGAAAAUGUACCGGGGCUAAACAUAUUACCGAAACUGUGGAUGAACCUCUUUAGAGGUUCGUGGUAGGAGAGCGU